ensembl:lncRNA
GCAUGGGUGCAGCAAGAGCAAGAGCAAGAGCAAGAGCAAGAGCAAGAGCAAGAGCAAGAGGCAGAGGCAGAGGCAGAGGCAGAGGUAGAGGAGGAAGAAGAAGAAGAAGAAGAAGAAGAGGACAGAAACAUAGACAUAGAGGAGGACGUGGUGGAAGAGGCCGUGCACGGAACAGUAUUUCCGAUGACAUAAGAGCAACUUUUGUGGAACAUGUCAUAAACCAUGGUCUGACUAUGAGGGAAGCUGGGCAGAGAGUCCACCCUAAUCUAUUCGCCGUUUCACAGUUUCAUCCAUAAUAAGGACAUUCCGACUGGAAAUCAGAAUGACUAGAAGACCUUCUGGGGGCGGACGCCAACGCCUGUUCACCCAACAGCAGGAACUUGCCAUUGUGGACCUGGUCAGAGCAAUGCAAUCUGUCUCAACCAGCUACAGCAACAAAUACUUGCAGAUCGAGAAGUAUUCAAUAACUUAGAGCAGUUCCACUAUCAGACGCAUCUUGGUAAAGCAUCAAAUUACCAUGAAGCAAUUGUACAGGGUCCCAUUUGAGAGGAACAGUGUCAGGGUCAAAAGACUUCGACGUGAAUAUGUACAGAGCAUCUUGGAGAUGGAUGGAGCUGCACAGCCUCAUGAAUGUAUUUACAUUCAUGAGGCUGGAUUCAACCUCAGCAAAACAAGACGACGGGGUCGUAACAUAAUUGGCCAAAGGGCAAUUGUGCAAGUCCCGGGGCAGCGCGGGGGAAAUAUCUCAUUGUGUGCUGCCAUAAGCCUUCAAGGGCUACUGCACCAUCAAACAAAACUAGGUCCCUUCAAUACCGAACAUAUAAUAACAUUUCUGGAUGCACUUCACGAUGCAGCUGUACAGGACAGAACAGAGCAGCCCAGGUUUGUUCUUGUCUGGGAUAAUGUUAGUUUCCAUCAGGCUGCUCUGGUCCGCAACUGGUUCACAAACCAUCAUCAAUUUUAGGUCCUAUACUUGCCCCCUUACACACCAAUUCUAAACGUAUUUAUUUAUAUAUUUUUUCGGCUUGGAGAUGGCGCGUCGUCUCAUUUCCUCGUUACAUGCUUUAAUUUAAUUAUAUUUAAAUUAUUAUGACCAUGGAGCCUUUAUUUGCAUGGGCUUACAUUUCGUUCUGUGUAGCAUGGAAAAAUCGGAGAAACACUCCCAUUCAGAAUGUAUUGGUUUACAUGUCGUUCUUUGGAGCACGGUUAUUUUUUAUUUUAUUUAUCUUCAUUUCUUGAUGAGGUGCUUCAAAAAUGCAAAAUUUCUGCACUAAUCCAAAAUCCAAUGGAAAAACCUGUUGGUUUGUUGUCAAGGGAACCCAGGGCGACGCUCACUUCCGGGUUGGCCAACAUACAUCAUCCCUCCACCACUCUAUAUUGUAAAAACACAUGUUCAAGUUGAAUGAUAAUGCAUGAAUUUAUUAUUUAUUCUAAUAAAUACUUUUGCCAUAGUAUUUAUUGAAAGGGGCUGGGGGGGAAUACAAGUCUUUUUGGCCAUGGAUCCAGAUCUGUUCCGGAGCAUUUCAGCACCUCGGGCAACAGCGCAGGGUUGCCAGGUCCUGCAAAAAAACGUCCUGCCCACAUACUGUUCCAAAUCCACCCAAAAUGUCCUAGAAGCCUAUUUUGAAAGUAAUAAUAUUUUAGGGAACUUUUUCUUCUAUUUUUGUUGUUGUUGUAGCAGCUGUGUGUGCUGUGUGUGUGUGUGUGUGUGUGUGUGUGUGUGUGUGUGUGU